rnacentral:rRNA from 1 species
UACGGGGGGGGCAAGCGUUGUUCGGAAUUACUGGGCGUAAAGGGCUCGUAGGCGGCCAACUAAGUCAGACGUGAAAUCCCUCGGCUUAACCGGGGAACUGCGUCUGAUACUGGAUGGCUUGAGUACAGGAGAGGUUAACGGAACUCUUUGUGUAGGGGUAAAAUCCCAUGAUGUAAAGAUGAACACCAAUAACGGCGAAGGCAGUUAACUAUUCUGUUACUGACAUUGAGGCACGAAAGCGUGGGGAGCAAAACGG